rnacentral:rRNA from 1 species
UACGGAGGGGGCUAGCGUUGUUCGGAAUUACUGGGCGUAAAGCGCACGUAGGCGGCUUUGCAAGUCAGAGGUGAAAGCCCGGGGCUCAACCCCGGAAUAGCCUUUGAGACUGCAUCGCUAGAAUUGUGGAGAGGUAAGUGGAAUUCCGAGUGUAGAGGUGAAAUUCGUAGAUAUUCGGAAGAACACCAGUGGCGAAGGCGACUUACUGGACACAUAUUGACGCUGAGGCGCGACAGCGUGGGGAGCAAACAGG